CUACGGGUUGCUCCAGUCGAGGAUUUUUCUCAAUGGGGGCAACCCUGAAGGAGCGACGCCGCGUGGAGGAUGAAGGGCUUCGGCUCGUAAACUCCUGUCACCGACGGACAAGACAUCCGGAUUAAUAAAUCGGAUGUUUGAUGGUAGUCGGAGAGGAAGGGGCGGCAACUCUGUGCCAGCAGCCGCGGUGAUACAGAGGCCCCAAGCGUUGUUCGGAUUUACUGGGCGUAAAGGGUGUGUAGGGGGUCGGGUAAGUUUGACGUGAAAUCCCGUUGCUCAACAACGGAACUGCGUCGAAUACUGCUCGGCUGGAGGUUCGGAGAUGAGGGCGGAAUUCUCGGUGUAGCGGUGAAAUGCGUAGAUAUCGAGAGGAACGCCGAUAGCGAAAGCAGCCCUCAAGACGAAAUCUGACCCUGAAACACGAAGGCCAGGGGAGCAAACGGGAUUAGAUACCCGUGUAGUC
rnacentral:rRNA from 1 species